rnacentral:rRNA from 1 species
AUGUACAAGUGGCUAGAGAGACCGCUUAGUGGGUGUACUUAUAAGUGGAUAUGGAAAGCUAAACUCCCCCUUAAAAUCCAGAUAUUUCUCUGGCAGCUUGCUCAGGAUGCGGUGCUUACCAGGCAAGUUAUGCGUCAACUAAAGUGGCAAGGGGACCCUGUGUGCUCCUUUUGCCAACAGGUUGAAACAUCCCAGCACUUAUUCUUUGGUUGUUCUGUGGCCAAAGUGGUCUGGCGUUCGAUUGGGGUCACACUUGGGACCGAUCUAUGUCCUAGUAACUACUGGCAGUUUUUUGUUUGGUGUCACUCCUUUUUACCGGGAUAUGAAUCUUUCUAUACUGUGGCACUGGGGGCUGUCACUUGGGCCAUCUGGCUAGCUCGUAAUAAAGCUACCUUCGAGAAAAAUGAUCAAAUCUCCUUUUGA